rnacentral:rRNA from 1 species
UGGGGAAUAUUGGACAAUGGGCGAAAGCCUGAUCCAGCCAUGCCGCGUGUGUGAAGAAGGUCUUCGGAUUGUAAAGCACUUUAAGUUGGGUGGAAGGGCAUUAACCUAAUACGUUAGUGUUUUGACGUUACCGACAGAAUAAGCACCGGCUAACUCUGUGCCAGCAGCCGCGGUAAUACAGAGGGUGCAAGCGUUAAUCGGAAUUACUGGGCGUAAAGCGCGCGUAGGUGGUUUGUUAAGUUGGAUGUGAAAUCCCCGGGCUCAACCUGGGAACUGCAUUCAAAACUGACUGACUAGAGUAUGGUAGAGGGUGGUGGAAUUUCCUGUGUAGCGGUGAAAUGCGUAGAUAUAGGAAGGAACACCAGUGGCGAAGGCGACCACCUGGACUAAUACUGACACUGAGGUGCGAAAGCGUGGGGAGCAAACA